UUGAUCCUGGCUCAGAAUCAACGCUGGCGGCGUGCCUAACACAUGCAAGUCGAACGCGAAAGUGGAGCAAUCCAUGAGUAGAGUGGCGAACGGGUGAGUUACACGUGGGUGACCUACCUUCGAAUGGGGGAUAACGUCCCGAAAGGGACUCUAAUACCGCAUAACAUCCUGUCCUUGAACGGAUGGUGAUCAAAGCCGGUGAUCGCAAGACCUGGCGUUUGAAGAGGGGCCCGCGUCCGAUUAGCUAGUUGGUGAGGUAACGGCUCACCAAGGCGACGAUCGGUAACCGGCCUGAGAGGUCGGACGGUCACACUGGGACUGAGACACGGCCCAGACUCCUACGGGAGGCUGCAGUGGGGAAUUGUUCACAAUGGGCGCAAGCCUGAUGACGCAACGCCGUGUGGAGGAUGAAGGUCUUCGGAUUGUAAACUCCUGUUGCUCGGGACGAAUAGCUUUGACCUAACACGUCAAAGUCUGACGGUACCGAGUGAGGAAGCCCUGGCUAACUCUGUGCCAGCAGCCGCGGUAAUAAGGU
rnacentral:rRNA from 1 species